AACGAACGCUGGCGGCAUGCCUAACACAUGCAAGUCGAACGAUUGCCUUCGGGUGAUAGUGGCGCACGGGUGCGUAACGCGUGGGAAUCUGCCCUUAGGUUCGGAAUAACAGCUGGAAACGGCUGCUAAUACCGGAUGAUAUCGCGAGAUCAAGGAUUUAUCGCCUGAGGAUGAGCCCGCGUUGGAUUAGGUAGUUGGUGGGGUAAAGGCCUACCAAGCCGACGAUCCAUAGCUGGUCUGAGAGGAUGAUCAGCCACACUGGGACUGAGACACGGCCCAGACUCCUUCCGGGGGCCGCCAUGGGGGAUAUUUGACCAUUGGCCGCAAGCUGGACCCGCCAUGCCGCGUUGGUGGUUGAGGGCCUAAGGUUGUAAAGCUUCUUUUCCCGGGGAGGUUAUGACCGGACCCGGGGGAUAAGCCCCGGCUAACUCCGUG
rnacentral:rRNA from 1 species